rnacentral:lncRNA from 1 species
AGUCAGAUCUGUUCUUCUCUGUUACAAGCUGUUUUAUAUUAGUGAACAUUUUUUAAAUGUGCUUUUUUUGGGCUUCCUCCUGCCCUAUUUUGGUUCCUGUCUCCAUGUUUCUCAUGAAGUGUUUCAGUUCCUCAGCCACACGUUCUCUUGGCAUAGUUUUUGGGAACAUAAAUUUCAAGAUUGGCAAAGGGAUACUGUACCUUACCCAUUCCAUCUGAACAUUAUUACGAUGCCACAAAAUCACCUAUUUUCAUAAUAAAAUAUACCAUGCUUCUUUUUAUUAAUAAUUGAAAAUGAACAGAAAUAUUGUUAUUUGUUUGAGAAGGGCUCCAUUGUUUUUCUUUAGAAUGUUAAUUUCCUGCUUUGCAUUUCCUUCCUCAUAGAUAAAUGCAGAGAACAUGUCUCUUCUUGGGAAAAGUGGGCAUUCUUGAAGAAGUAAAAGAUUGACCUCAUUGUAUACAUUUAAUAAAUACUAUUUUUUUCCAAAGUAUGGUUAAUGACAGGUUGGAUAAUCUCUUGAUUUGGGAACUGAGUUCUACUACAUUUAAUACAAUCCCAAAUGACUAAGACGUGAACCAGAGAACACUGAGUCUGGAGGUUCGCAGUUUCUGGUAUCAUUUCUGUGGCUCAAAAGUGUGAGGGUCAAAGUUUCUCCGUUGUUUCUUACCAUCAUGAUUAUAACAUGGAUAACUGUGGAUCUAACCAUCACAUUCAAAUUCCAGGAAGGAAGCGGGAAAGAGAAAAGGCAAAGUCCAAGAGGCCAAGCCAGCCAAAUCUUUCCCUUUAAAGGGACUUUCCUAAAAAUCCUGCUUCUCUCUGGCCAGGAUGGUAUCACACAACCUCCUAGCUGCAAGGAAAUUGGGAAAUAUAUUUGUUUGUUUUUUUCAGCUGGGUAUAUUGCCACUUCCAGCAAAAGUAGGAAGGAAGAAAGGGAAAAUAGUUACUGAUCAAAAAAUUGGCACUCUGUACCCCUCCUUUUUAUUUAAUUUUUUGGCCUUUCCACAGCAUAUGGAAGUUCCCAGGCCACGGACUGAAUCUGAGCCACAGCUGUGAUGCUUCAGCUGUGGCAACACCGAAUCCUUAACCCACUGUGUCAGGCCAGGAAUCAAACCUGCAUGCCAGCACUCCAGGGACACUGCCGAUCCUGUUGCACCACAGAGAGAGCUCCACCACAACCUUUUCUUGGAAAAAUAUCAUCUUAUUUCAAGAUCAUGUCUGCAAGCUGAUGGUUGCUUUUUAAUUAUAAGAAUAAUAAAUGGGGCCUUCACAAAAUGGCCCCACCGCUGCUUUCAGUCCCUAGUGGACUGAGUUGUAAUUGCUGGUUGAAUUAUUCUGCUAUUACUAAAGCAAGUCGCAUUGCCUUCUCUUGGGGGAAUAGCUUUAGAAUAGCUUCUAAAAGAAAAAUAAAAGAAUUUAAAACACUACCUAUGCAAAACUGUAGUGAGUGGGUCUUAACGGUAUUUUUUAAAGUAUAUUUUCAUGGCUUACUUGUAAUAUAGUAGUUUUGGGGACACAAUAACUACCCACGCAUCAGAAGUUGCCCUUAUGACCAUUUCAGUGCAUAAGGUAUGGUGGUAGGAGAAUUGGCUUUGAAAUGAGACACACCUGGACUUGCAAUGUAGGUAAUAUUAAAAGCCUCCAAAGUGGUCUGCCUGCGUUUGCCCUUGCUAUUUAUAGACCAUUCUCAGCCAGCUGCAGAGAAGACCCUAAAUGAUGUCAGAUAAAGGUACCCUGCUCAAAACCCCCAGUGGCUCCUCAUCCAAAGAAGCCAAAAUCCUUACAAUGGCCUCCAAGGUCCUCUCCUUCUCUGCACACACUGACCCAACCCCCGAGUCUUUCUGACCUCUUUCCUGUCUUUUCUUCCUCUUCCCUCUGUUCCAGCCUAGCCUCCUUGCUGUUGCUCAAAGCCCACUCCCCCUCAGAGCUCUGCACUGCCUCUUCACUGCCUGUAGCACUUUCCCCUCUGAUACCCACAGGGCCCACCCCUCACCCUUUCAGGGCAUUUUUGAAGGUCACCUUUUUUAACGACUUCCUUUAAUCUGCAGAACAAGCUUCCUUUCAUCUUCUUUAAUUUUCUAUAGUACUUGCAUCUAUCACCACUAUCUUCUUAUUGCAUUUCAUUUCAUUUCAGUCGUAGAAGAGGAUUAAAAUCUUUACUCCUAGUCUAGUAUCUUAUUUUAAUUAUUUUUCUAAUUAAUACAGUAAAAAAAAAUUCAAACAGUUUAGGAGUUCCCGUCGUGGCGCAGCAGAAACUAAUCCGACUAGGAACCAUGAGGUUUUGGGUUUGAUCCCUGGCCUCGCUCAGUGAGUUAAGGAUCCAGCGUUGCCAUGAGCUGUGGAGUAGGUCACAGACGCAGCUCGAAUCCGGAGUUGCUGUGGCUCUGGCGUAGGCUGGCAGCUAUAGCUCCAAUUGGACCCCUAGCCUGGGAAUCUCCAUAUGCUGCAAGUGUGGCCCUGAAAAGACAAA